rnacentral:siRNA from 1 species
AUGCACUAUUUGUUUUACUACGCA